rnacentral:rRNA from 1 species
CAAUAGCGUAUAUUAAAGUUGUUGCGGUUAAAAAGCUCGUAGUUGGAUUUCUGCUGAGGACGAUCGGUCCGCCCUCUGGGUGAGUAUCUGGCUCGGCCUUGGCAUCUUCUUGGAGAACGUUACUGCACUUGACUGUGUGGUGCGGUAUCCAGGACUUUUACUUUGAGGAAAUUAGAGUGUUUCAAGCAGGCGCACGCCUUGAAUACAUUAGCAUGGAAUAAUAAGAUAGGACCUUGGUUCUAUUUUGUUGGUUUCUAGAGCUGAGGUAAUGAUUAAUAGGGAUAGUUGGGGGCAGUCGUAUUUAACUGUCAGAGGUGAAAUUCUUGGAUUUGUUAGAGACGGACUACUGCGAAAGCAUUUGCCAAGGAUGUUUUCAUUGA